UUUUUUUUUUCCUGUAGAAGUGAACUUAAUGAAGAACUACUAGUUAGAAAAUUCUGUAGAAUAGAGAAAAAUUCUCUUUUCAGAUUGCAUUUAUCAAAGCUAAAACUCAAUAUAUAUACUUUAUUUAAUAUAUUUCCUUCCACAUCUGUGUUUCACAUGCGUGCCUUUUGCCUAAGCAUUAUUUUUCAACUAUGUCAUAUAUUCUCUGGCUACUUUUAGCAUCUCACUGUCGGGUUCUGAGUGCUUAGGUGCCCACAUGUUUGGGUGUGGGGGUGUGCAGAUGUCUCCUUUCCUGCUUGUACUGGCUAAAUUUUCUGGACAAUUCAAAUAAGAUUUGAGGCCAUUUUGAGGGAUUUUAAAUACUGUCCCUUAUAUUCUCUCAUCUCUCACAAACUAGACACGCAUUCUUGCCAAUUAAAACCCCCUGUCUUUACCUCAGUGUGAUCUGAAGAGCGCCAGGGGGAAAAAAAAGAUGUUCUUUGGAAUCUUUGUGAUGAAUAUUUUGUAGGUGGUGCAGCUGCCUGAGCUUUCAUCUCUCUCUCCUGCCCACUUUGGCCUCCUACACACAAGUGCAAAGCCCUCACGUUCUUCCCUUUCGCCAAGCACAGACGAGAGUGGCUUUUGGCUGUUUAGGAUCUGUGGAGCCCUUGGUGAUCCUGUGAAAGCUCAGGUGGUCUGGGUGCCCCUCUCACAUUCCCCCCUCACAAACAGCAAAUAUCAGAGCCCGCAGCACCUGUAAACUCUUACUGUGUUAAAUAACCUGAUAGCUACAGUUGAUGGGGGAAGCACUUUAUUCCUGCUUCCUCGGGGCAGAAUGCAUGAAAAAAUCCUCCCUGCCUAACUUUUCAGAAAGUAAACUCUGGGUUAUACAAAAGAUACAUUAUUCUUUUCACAAUUAGGGCUGUUUAUGCAAGUGCGGGGAAGUCAGUUCUAUCAGAAAUACUAACAGCUUUGAUGCGUUAUAAAAAAUAUGGUUCUCGUUUGUGUCUUUCCUACGGGCUAAUCGUAGUGAUGAUGUUUGAAGGUGGGUUCAUUUCUGUCGUUCUUGUCAAGGAAGAGACUAAUGUAUGUGUAUUUGUAUGUAUAGAUCUGCUUUGAAAGACCACAUAUGCCACACAAAGAAUACAUUAGUGGAAAUUGACUUCUGUGUUAAAUGAGUCUUUUAAAAGUUUUUCCCCCAUCCUGCCUGAAGAAAGCAAACAGCCUGGUAAUGAACACAGUAGGAAGAAAUUAAAGUUGUAGAUAAAGUGUGCUUUUGGUGAAUUGUUUAUUUCAUUACUUAAAUUCGUUGUGAUAUUUAAAAUGUAGGGGGAAGGGAUGGUUACCACUUUCUCCUUGAAAUGAACUGGGCUUUUAUGGUCUCCCUCUGAUUUCUUUUUCCAUUAUUCCCAUUUUCUUGAGCUUUUCAUGGUUAAUGGAAGUACUACUCAGUAAAGCUCAAAAGACAUUUCUGUAGAAGCAGAAAGUCAGUUGCCUUUGCUGCUGACUCCCUCUCUGGAGGGAAGGUGUUUUAAUUUUUUGAUUGGCUUUAAGAGGUAAAUACAGACAGUGGUGUGGUUUUGGGGAGCUAAACUUCUUAAGCUAUCACUUUUACUUUAUAGAACCAGGACAUUCAGCAACAUUAAAUUGGAACGCGUCCCAGGGUCACUAUGCUAUCUUGCCUCUCAAUCAAGGGUCUCACUUGAGAAAUAUGAGCAAACAUAUUUUAUUUAGGAGUCCCAAUUCUUCAGUAUAGAAUAUAGAACCCAGAGAGAACAAAAAGCAGGUUGUGGGUAUAAAUUGGAGUGAAAAAUUCAUAUGAUGGUGAUGUCUUUGAAUAUGUACACUUCACAAACAAUAAGAUUCCCACUGCGGAAUCCUAUAAAGGAGAUAUUUUCGUUCUGCGUCUCGGUGUGAAUGCCUUGGCUGACCCAAGUCCACCCACCACCGUAGAUGUGUUUUGGAAAGGGUGUCUACUCUGGUGUUGCAGUCUGAGAAAGAUGAGACAUUCUCUGACCUGAAGUCUUUUUUUAUUUACUACAGAUGUGCCUUCCUCUGUUUCCUCCUGUGUGGUCCUUAAGUGAACAGAAGCAAUGUACCAGCCUAUGCAAAGCUGCCAAUCUGUGGAGGAGACUGACCCUCCCCAGAGCCAGAAGAGGUUGUCCAGAUACUAGAUUUCUUGGAUUUGGGUUGUUCUUUCCCUUCCACUCCCCUGCUCCAUACCUUACCUGCCUCAUGACAUGGUCCCCAACCCCAAAGUUAGCAUUUCUGAAAUGGAUACAGUUUAGAGUCAGUGUGUACAUUUAAUGUGGCCAUAUUUCCUUCCCCCCCUCCUCAGAGAGGCUAUUAAUAAAUUAAUGUGUCUAGAAUUGAGGAGUUAUGGUAUGAACUUUUUUUUUUUUUAAUUGAGCAGCAGAAGAAAAACAAAGCAUACUAAUUUCCACGGGGAUUUGUUCAAAAAGAUGGUCAUCACUCUCACUUAUUCUGAUUUUCUUAUAUUUCUAUGAACCCCCACUUCUCCUGGUUCCUCAAAAACUGGAAACCCUGAGCCUAAGGCUACAGCUGUUACAAUGAUCACUCUGCUAUUAUUAUCUCUGAAAUCUUCCUUCUCUCACCACUUAUUCUUUCUCUCCUUUUCUUUCCCACAACGGAACUAGUUGAUGCGCGGGAGUGCUUUUAAGUUCAAAUAUGGAAGCGUGGGGCUGUGACAUAGCUGAGGGGGAGGUGCAGGGUGGCUGAAUGGAGUUUAGGAACAGUAUCUGGUUUUAUAGGGGAGAGAGAGAGAGAGAGAGUGUGUGUGUGUGUGUGUGUCCACAUGUGGGUGAAGAGUAAAACAAAAAAAAAAUGGGAGAAAGUAUGAAUUAUAUAAUUAGGAGCUGGCUUUGAAAAACCUGAUCAGGCCCAUAAUAAAAACUGCCUCGUGCAUCCUACAUAUACGCUGACUCUCUGGCUAUAAACUCCCCAGCUCAGGUCCCGAAUAGAGGCAUUUCCACUUUAGAAAUCCUUUCACUAGAGUUCAUGCCCAAUUCCUCUGUGGUUUCAUUCCUAUUGUAAUUAAUUUUUCCAUUUGAGGAUGCCCUUUCUUUCCUUCCAUAUCUUCCAAGAAUGGCAAAUAGAUUCUUACGGAUCCUUUCACGCAUACU
rnacentral:lncRNA from 1 species